UACGCGUUUAUUAAUGCAGUACCUGUAUAAUUUUAUUCUUUACUUUUUUAGUGUAUAACUGUUUUCUGUUCCUUUUAAAUAAAAUAAAAUAUGUUAUUGACUCAUUAUUGCACACUGUCAUCCACUAAACUGUAUUUAAACAAAUCACAAGAUGGUUGCCGUUUAGUAAAGUUUCAAGAUGAACAAGAUUUUUAUUUGUUUAUUUCUACUCGGAGUUGUCGUCGCAUCCACCAUGGGUGCCAGCGAUUGCACGCUACCGCUCCGCAAAGGUCCGUGCCAAGGCAGAUAUCACAGCUACUACUUUGACGUAAAAUCUCGGCAGUGCAAGCCAUUCGUCUAUUCGGGAUGCGGUGGCAACGGAAACCGUUUUUACAGCAUUGACGAAUGUGAAUUUGCCUGCCACUAUUUUAUGACAUUACCAUAAAUUAAAAUAAAAAAAUUUACUUUAAAAGA